GGAGACUGGAGAAAGGUUCCCUUCUUCUCCAGACCUAAAGAACGUCUCUCCUUUGUCCUAGUGUGUAUGUAGCAGUUUGAACUUCCAAACAAGAACUUCUCCCCAGGAUCAAGAACUCAACCCUGCCCAGUAAGAACUCUGCCCCAGGAGACCUCAACUGAUACCAAAGAUGGCCUUCCCUUCUCGUAUCUUCCUCUUCUGUUGUUCAAAUACCGGAACCUGACAUCGGUUGUCUCUGUGAGUUAAUAUUGGUUGGUGAUUUGACAAGAUCUAGUGUCAGCUAGCACGAGGCUGGCUGCUUCUUCCUUCAGCCUUCUCGGUGUUUGCUUUACACUGAGGAAUCCUGAGGGUUG
rnacentral:lncRNA from 1 species